UGAUGUGAGGGCAAUCUGGCUGUGACAUCUGUCACUCCAUUGAUUGCCAGGGUUGAUUCAGCUGAUCUGGCUGGCUAUACAAGUGUCCCCUUCCUCCCUCACCACUCCAUGUGCAUCCCUCCAGAAGCUGAGCACUUGGUCGAAGAGGACGACCAUCCCUGAUAGAGGACAGGAACAUUUCCUAAUGUCUGCAUCACCCUCAUUAACAUAUGCAUGAUAUCACCCUAUCCUUGC
ensembl:misc_RNA 7SK 7SK RNA